CAACUGCUGCUAAUCCUAGGCAAAGCGAAAUGAAACCAACUGUGGUUAUAUUAUAAAUCGCACCACCACAAAUGGAGCCAAAAGUAUUGGACAAAGACACUCCUACUUGUACGACUAUGCUGGCGGUAUUAUGAUGCCUUGGAUGCAACUGUUUGGACGAAAGGGAAAUUAGAGGCGCAGAUCCAAUGCUAUAGCCAUAAAUCAUCAACGAAUACAAGAAAAAAUAAACUUGCAUGGGUAGCUUGUGAACUGCAUCUAAUACUAGAUGAAUGGCUACUGCCAAAAUUCCCAAGAAUAGGCCUCCCAACAUGAUGUGUCGGUCUUCGAGCCAUCGAGACAAAAAUGAACUCGCUAGAAUAAAAGGUGCCACGAUUAAUGCGGAUAAUGCUAUAAAAUUUCCUGAUUGAAAAGCAUCGUAAUUAUAAAGUUUUCCUGUGUAAAUGGAAAUACUAGCUUGGUAGCCGUUCACGGUAAAGUAUGCUAUAAAUGCCACUUCCGCUAAAAAGAAAAGCAAAAAUUUAUGUUUCCAACUCAACUUUGGCCUGUCCUCAUCAUCAUUUUCUUUUUGUUGUGAAACUUUUUCGCUUUUGUCAGCCGUUACCUCUUUGAAGAAGAAUAUGAUAGUUAGCAUAUAAAAAAACCACAUAAACAACAUGACCCAUGAUGCCACUGUGUACUGAUUCCAAACAGCGUUCUUUGAAUGAAUUGUCGCUUUUGCUAAUAUACCUCCAAGGAAGGGACCUGCCAUGAAUCCUAAGGUCUGCGCUAAGAUGUUCAUUGUUGCCAAGAAUGUUCGACGAUUUUGUCCGACGAGCAACUUAUCUGUUGUAUAUUUUUUGUGAUAUAAGAAGGUAGUGAACCCAAUACCGUUCAGCAUUCGCCCGAUUAGAAUUAGAUAGAUCCAAUUGGCACGAUAUGCCAUGCAAUAAAGUAAAUGGCCAAAAAUGUGAGCAAACGAAGAUACUACCAUUGGUCGGAAGUACAGAGUAUAACCGUUAGCCGACUUUGGGUUUGCAAAGCAAAGCAUGGGAUAAAGAAAUAUUAACGAAAUUAAAGUGGGAAUCCCAAUUACCAAACCUGAAAAUGCAUUUGUACCACCAAGGCUUUGAGUGUAAGAGGCCGACGUGGGUAAGGCCACAGCCAAGGACAUAUCGGACAUUAAGCUGUUAAUCAAUAUGAACGCAAUGGAUACCUUUGGGGGCAGUUUGUUGGCAUUUUCGUCUACAGGAUAAGUUGGAACAAGACUUGAACGAUUACUCUGAAAUGUUUCAGUAACCGACUCGACUUCUGAUGCUUUCUUUGGAUAGGUAUAAAAUUCAUAUUCUUCGGAUACUUGGUCUACGAAACCAAGAUCUUUAGAGGUGACCUUAAAAUAAGUCGGCCUACUGUCAACCCUUGAUCGGCGACGACUAAUACUACUAAAAGAGCCACUUCGUUGUGAUGGCUCCAUUUGUGGAAUACUCCUAGAUAAUCAAAAAUUUUUUUGGUAGAUAAGCGAUUCAAGGAGUUUUAUGCCGAUGAAGCCUAUAGUAUAGCUCGAUAGCUUGAUCCAGUAAUUGAAUCUUGCACGUGGCUAUUAAGCUAUGGUGCAAAACUAAUUAGUAUCUAAUCUUUUCGGACUGAAAGUUAUUUUAGCUUACUUGUAGUAAGUGCACUGGA